GCUCAGCCUUAAACUUUGACAGCACAACUACAUCAGCCGUCCGCCAGGGAACUACGAGCAUUAAGCUUAAAACCCAAAGGACUUGGCGGUGCUUUAGACCCCCCUAGAGGAGCCUGUUCUAGAACCGAUAUUCCCCGCUCAACCCCGCCCCCUCUUGUUACGGUCAGCCUAUAUACCGCCGUCGUCAGCUUACCCUGUGAAGGAACCCACAGUCGGCAAGACCAGUAAGACUCAAAACGCCAGGUCGAGGUGUAGCUUAUGAGGAGGAAAGAAAUGGGCUACAUUCCCUGUUUCAGGGUACACGGAUAGUAUGAUGAAAAUAUCACACUCUUACAAGGAGGAUUUAGUAGUAAGCAGAAAAUAGAGAGUUCUGCUGAAGCCGGCCCUGAAGCGCGCACACACCGCCCGUCACUCUCCCCCCCNUCCCUCACUUCACCCAACAACCAUUUUACAUCCUUAUACUCGGGGGGGAGGCAAGUCGUAACAUGGUAAGUGUACCGGAAGGUGCACUUGGAGGAU
rnacentral:rRNA from 1 species